GGCUCAGGAUGAACGCUGGCGGCGUGCCUAACACAUGCAAGUCGAACGGACUUACAUUGAAGCCUAGCGAUAUGUAAGUUAGUGGCGGACGGGUGAGUAACGCGUGGGUAACCUGCCUUGUACUGGGGGACAACAGUUGGAAACGACUGCUAAUACCGCAUAAGCGCACAGCUUCGCAUGAAGCAGUGUGAAAAACUCCGGUGGUACAAGAUGGACCCGCGUCUGAUUAGCUGGUUGGUGAGGUAACGGCCCACCAAGGCGACGAUCAGUAGCCGACCUGAGAGGGUGACCGGCCACAUUGGGACUGAGACACGGCCCAGACUCCUACGGGAGGCAGCAGUGGGGAAUAUUGCACAAUGGAGGAAACUCUGAUGCAGCGACGCCGCGUGAGUGAAGAAGUAUUUCGGUAUGUAAAGCUCUAUCAGCAGGGAAGAUAAUGACGGUACCUGACUAAGAAGCACCGGCUAAAUACGUG
rnacentral:rRNA from 1 species